rnacentral:rRNA from 1 species
GGAGGGUGCAAGCGUUGUUCGGAAUUAUUGGGCGUAAAGAGCGUGUAGGCGGUCCGGUAAGUCAGAUGUGAAAGCCCUGGGCUCAACCCAGGAAGUGCAUUUGAAACUACCAGACUUGAGUACGGGAGAGGAGGGGGGAAUUCCCGGUGUAGAGGUGAAAUUCGUAGAUAUCGGGAGGAAUACCAGUGGCGAAGGCGCCCUCUGGACCGAUACUGACGCUGAGACGCGAAAGCGUGGGGAGCAAACAGGAUUAGAUACCCUGGUAGUCCACGCCGUAAACGAUGAGCACUAGGUGUAGCGGGUAUUGACCCCCCUGCUGUGCCCGUAGCUAACGCAUUAAGUGCUCCGCCUGAGGACUACGGUCGCAAGACUG